GGUAGCUCAGUGGUAGAGCAUCUGACUUGUGUACAGAAGGUCCCAGUUCAAUUCCCAGCAUCUCCA